rnacentral:lncRNA from 1 species
AAUGCCAGGUCUUUAACCCACUGAUCCACCAGGGAACUCAUAAUUUUUUUAACAGCGGUAUCUGUCUCUUUACAGUAUUACACUUUUUAUAUUUCUUUUAUGUAAAGGGAGUAUGUAAAAAUUAAUUCCACAUUGCAUGGGAUCUAAUCUUGACUUUAUGGUAUUAAUUGUAUGAACUAUGUGUUACCUAAAUUUUCAGUGCCUCAGCAUAUAACUCAUAGAUUUGUUGUGGGGACUAAAUGAAAUAAUGUGUGCAAAACACUAUGUUUAAAUGCCUUGCAUAGAACAAUCAUUAACUUUUGUAUAAAUUAAGUAAAACAAUGACCAAUUCACAUUAAAAAUAAUUAUAAUCAUAUAAAACAGUAUUAAUUAAAUUAAUUAGUAAUUCAUUUAUGAAUAUUAUUCAACACUUACUAUUGGCUAUAUAAACAGAAUUGUUUUUAUUAUUUUUGAUGACAAUUGCAAUUUGACCAUGGGAAUGUACAUUUUCCUCUCAUUUUCGUAUUUCAUCAACAUGAAUUACAGAGACAAAAAUAUUUAUUUAAAAAUAUACUUCUCUGUAAAGUAAUGAGUAGUUUGGCUUCUGGCUUAUCUUGCACUUUAAUCAUGUCUGAUUAUUUUCAUUACAAAUAUGUUCUUACUGUUGUUGGCUGCAGAUUCGAGGACAGAUGUGGCCAUGUCACUUGUCAACACAAUUUUAAGCUAAGUUUAUAUUUCAAAUGUUUAAUUGCUUAUGAGGUUAGAAAGUGCCAGGAGAAUGCUAUUGAUUUCCAGAUUGCAGAUUGGAGGUGGUAAAUUUGGUGUCUGAAAAAGAAACAUCUGACUCUAAAUUAUGUAAAUGUAAUAAAGAAGCUAUAACACCAAUACAGGUUUUAAAAAUAUCAUACUCUUCACUGUAUUUUCAGAACAAAUUUAAAGGAAAGCUUCAUGAAUGUGUUGUUGUAAUAUGGCCAGAUCUUUAUUAAUUUCAAGGCUUCACUGCUCAUUGUGUGGUGGCCUACAUUCAUAUAACAUAAAUCAAUUUGACAAUCACACAACAGAUAUCAGACACAGCAUAAUAGCAAUAGGAGUCUCUGUCUCAAUGACUCCAGGGGUCAUUGCACCUGAACAAUCACCUAAGUUGACUAUUAUUACAAGUGUGAAUUUUAAAAAAUAAUUUAGUCAUUAAAUUGCAUCUAAAAUACUUCAUGUGUGAUUUGUAAUUCUUAAGUGUGAUAAGACAAAUCUAUUAGGUUUUAGAGGAAAAAGACUUGCUUGAAAUGUAGAAAUCCUUUCUUAAUUUGCAUAUUACGUAAUACAACCCACAACUGGUAAUUCCUAACUGGCUACUUAAUAUAAACACAGGGAAUGGAACUUUUGAGAGGGAAAAGAGUAUUUAAUGAACAAUUUAUUCUUUAUGCAUCACCUUGUUUAAUUGUUACAACUUUCUGUGGUUUAUAUUAUUAUAUCCAUAUUAUAGAUUAAGAAACAGUGGUUCAAAAUGUAAAUCUCCCAAGAUCUUAUAUAGUGCACACACAUACACACACACACACAAGCACACCCCAUUUCUCUAACAGCUAUAAUUUUCCUUAAAAGAUUGUGUUAACAAUAUGACAAUUAAACAUAUUAUAUUUUGGUUACUCUUUUUCCUCAAACCCUGCCUCAAUACAGAGAGGGGAUGAGAAAGAGAGGCUGGGGGGAGGAAGAGAGAGGGAGAAAAUAAUUAGGAUGAGUGUGUCGAGAUGGUAAAGAAAAGUUAAAUUCUCAUCUUCUGUCUAGGAAGUCAACAGAUAAAGCCUAAUAUUGAAAAAUCAAUAAGUAGUUAUAUAAACAUGUUGUUUAUCAAUAUGGAAGUAAACACUACAGAAUUAGCUAAAAGAGUUUUAAAUAUUUGCCUCUCCGGAAAAUUAAAUGGCUAGAACCUGUAGCCGUUUUCGUAACCAGCCUUGUCGAACUAAUUGACUCUUUAAACUUCCGGCAUGUAUCACUUCGAUGGAAAGUUAAGCUAAUUUUUAAAAAAAUCAAUACUGGUAUAAAUAAAUGCCUAAAUUUACUUGCCCUCUGAUACUCUAUGUCUUUGCACACUGCCUUGUUUCACCUGUAAUGUCCAAUUUCUUGAACCUUUCCCUUUCUGGCAUUUUUGAGCAGCAAACCUGGGUCAGCUCACAUCGUGGUCUAGGAAAUCGUUAUGGAACCACCCAUGCAGACUUAAUAGCUCUUUUAUUUGCUCCUGACUGCACUUUCAAGCUUUCCUUCCUAGUGCUCUGCAUUGAAAUAUCAAUUAUGUGCCUGCCUCCAUUUCUAGGCUGGAUGCUCAUGGAAAAAACUGUUUCUUAAUUGUCUCUGCACUUUAGACCUCAACACAGAGUAUAGCAAAUACCUAAUAAUUGUUUUUUAAGUGAAGCCAAGUUAGUAAGUCCUAUGGAUUGAUGUUCUUAGAGAUGAAUAGUGCCCAAUAAAAGGCAUGUCCUUAAGUAGUUUCUAUUUGCUUUCUUAUGAUGGGAAAAAAGGUCGGAUCUGAGUUGAGUCUAUAAGUUACAAGUUAGUUAUGAGAAUUGUUGGGCCUAUUCAGUAUGUCAGCAUCAGAUCUAGUAAUCAAAGAAUUUCUGAAAAGUGGUCCACAUUCUCCUGGGAAAUGAAAACUUUCUCAUCUCCACCUGCCUUUACAAGUGCACACGUGUGCAUGUGCACGCGCAUACACACACACACAAAUUUACAUGUUUACUAUGAAAUGUUAACACAUUAUUGAAUCAUGACUUAGAGUUGAAUAAUUCAUGGUCCUGGCACACUAUUGCUUAGUUCAAUGGUUCAUAGCUGGGAAUAUAACUAAUUCUGAAACAACUGGUAUUGAUCCUUUGGAAUUUUGGAACCAAGACUGAAACAGGAAAUUAAUCUCUCUACAAGUGUCUGAAGAUGCAUCCUGUAAAAUCAAGAGUUUCCAUCAGCCAUGUUUUCUACUACCUAAGCUAAAGAAGUGGGGGAAGUCAACCUUCAACUAGAAAGUAAAUAAUAAAGCAAACGCAUAAAGCAGAAGAAUCCAGAAACCUGAGGGUACCGAGUUUCUGUUUCCAUUUAUUCCUAAGGCUUUGUUCUUAUUACUGGAUUUCUUUGGAUACCUGGGUGUGAUUCCUUUUUUGAUUUAAGUUCUCUUGAACUUGGCUUCAGUGAUUUACAAAGACUACUUAUAAACACAAAAUUAAUAAAGAAAGAAUUACAGAUAGGAAUUGGGGAAAACAGCACUAUGCUAGCAGUUUAGACACUUAGGAACUGGUUUAUGAAAAUAAUUAAUUAUAUGUUGAGUCCAGCAUAUAAUUAAUUAGUAUAUAGUAUUUAUAUACUAUUUUCUGUUCUUUUCCAUUUUCUAAGAUUUCAGUAGACUAUUUUAACAUAUAUAACUUUGUCAGAGUAGUGAUAGAAGCAAUUAUGGAUGAAUCAGCUCUGAAAUUGAAUUGAGUAGCAAAAUUUGGAGUGGACCUUCUUUUUCCAAGUCCAUAGGGGAAUUGAAAGUGGUGGUAACUAAUAGGAAAGAGUAUGAUCCAUGUGGAAAAAAAUCACAAAUAGUUCACACAAUGUGGCUGCCUGAGGAGGAAGAUGAAGCAUAUAUACUCAGGGACCUGAGAACUCUGAGGGCCUUUCGAAAAUGUCUGACCUGCAAACGAGUUCAUCCUUUUUUUAGAUUCCACAUAUAAGCAACAUCGCAUGAUGUCUGUCUUUCUCAGAUUUACUUCACUUAGCACGAUAAUCUCAUAAAUUUAUCUGCAGGACAGAAACACUCAGAGGCUUUGAAAACGAACCCAUAGUUACCAAAGAAGACAGGUGGGGCUGGGGGAUGGACUUGGGGUAUAGGAUUGGCGUAUGCACACUGAGGUAUAUGGAAUGACUGGUCAACAGGGACCUGCCAUAUAGGACAGGGAACUCUACCCAGUAUUCUGUGAUCAUCAGCAUGGGAAAAGAAUCUGAAAAGGAAUGGAUGUGUUAUGAUGAACUAGUUUAUUUCAAUCUAAUAAUUAUCAGAAAAGAAAUACUUGAAAAACACCCAAGGCAGAGGAGAUACUCAGGAAACAAUAGUUAGAAGUGAGAUCAGUAACAGCCAUAAUAAAAAUAUUGACGACAGAUAAUUAGAAUUUUUUUUAAAAAAACUGAGAAAACCCAGCAGACUUGUUUUCUUUUGCCAUGUAACAAGUCACCGCAAAAUUAUUAGCAUAAACCAACAAUUUAUGAUCUCACAGUUUUGAUGGGUCAGGAGUACAGGUGUGGUUUAGCUGGGUCCUCAGCUCAGGUCUCAUACAGGUAGAAACAAAAUGUCACCUGGGCUUCAGUUCUCAUUUGGAGUUUGAGGUCUGCAUCUGGACUCAUUCAGAUUGUUGGCUGAACUCAAUUACUUGUAGUUGCAGAAUUGAGUUGGUUAAGGUUUUUGUUGUUGUUCUAACGUUAUCUUUCUGCUCCUAGCAGGUUCACAACAUGGUAGCUUGUUUAUUUUUGGAGAGAGAGAGAGGGAGAGAAAGAGACUUUAAUUCACCUGUCAUAAAAAUCACUUUCCUUCUACUGGAGAGAAGUGAGCAAGGGAUGGAAUGAUUGUUCAGUAUGAGAAAAAGAAUGUGUAUAAAUAUAUAUAUGUGUGUGUGUGUGUAUAUAUAUAUAUUUGUGUGUGUGUAUAUGUGUGUGUCUGUGU